CUAAAACGUCCGUAGCCGGUUUGAUACAUUCGUGGGUAAAUCAACCAGCUUAACUGGUUGAAUUCUGCGAGGACGGCCAGACUUGGGACCGGGAGAGGUGUGGGGUACUCUCAGGGUAGGGGUAAAAUCCUGUCAUCCUGAGCGGACCACCUGUUGCGAAGGCGCCACACUAGAACGGAUCCGACGGUCAGGGACGAAGCCUAGGGGCACGAACCGGAUUAGAUACCCGGGUAGUCCUAGGUGUAAACGCUGUGGACUUGAUGUUGGGGGUGCUCCGAGGACUCUCAGUGCCGAAGCGAAGGUGAUAAGUCCACUGCCUGGGAAGUACGGUCGCAAGGCUGAAACUUAAAGGAAUUGGCGG
rnacentral:rRNA from 1 species